AACGCACAUUGCGCCUUCUGGUAUUCCGGUAGGCAUAUCUGUUUGAGCGUCAGCAAACAAUAACAAAUAUCGGUAGGUCCUCACGGGCCGGCUCCGGUUAUGGGUCGGGGGCGACCGGCCGAUAGCGGCAUGUCCCUUCACCUUAAUACUUGCAGUCCGAUCGCGAAGCCCCUUCCUGCUCGGUUUACGGAGUGGUGUAAACGUGAAAACGUAUAUUCCGUCCCGAAUCGGAGAAACGGCCCGCGCGACGUUAAACGUUCGGCUGCCGCCCCUGGCAACCGCUGUUUGACCUCAAAUCAGAUAAGGAUACCCGCUGAACUUAA
rnacentral:misc_RNA from 1 species